CCUACGGGAGGCAGCAGUGAGGAAUAUUGGUCAAUGGACGAGAGUCUGAACCAGCCAAGUAGCGUGAAGGAUGACUGCCCUAUGGGUUGUAAACUUCUUUUAUAUGGGAAUAAAAUGUUCCACGUGUGGGAUUUUGUAUGUACCAUAUGAAUAAGGAUCGGCUAACUCCGUGCCAGCAGCCGCGGUAAUACGGAGGAUCCGAGCGUUAUCCGGAUUUAUUGGGUUUAAAGGGAGCGUAGGUGGAUUGUUAAGUCAGUUGUGAAAGUUUGCGGCUCAACCGUAAAAUUGCAGUUGAAACUGGCAGUCUUGAGUAGAGUAGAGGUGGGCGGAAUUCGUGGUGUAGCGGUGAAAUGCUUAGAUAUCACGAAGAACUCCGAUUGCGAAGGCAGUUCACUGGACUGAAACUGACACUGAGGCUCGAAAGUGUGGGUAUCAAACAGGAUUAGAUACCCUUGUAGUC
rnacentral:rRNA from 1 species